rnacentral:rRNA from 1 species
GAUGAACGCUGGCGGCGUGCCUAAUACAUGCAAGUCGAGCGAACGGACGAGAAGCUUGCUUCUCUGAUGUUAGCGGCGGACGGGUGGGUAACACGUGGAUAACCUACCUAUAAGACUGGGAUAACUUCGGGAAACCGGAGCUAAUACCGGAUAAUAUUUUGAACCGCAUGGUUCAAAAGUGAAAGACGGUCUUGCUGUCACUUAUAGAUGGAUCCGCGCUGCAUUAGCUAGUUGGUAAGGUAACGGCUUACCAAGGCAACGAUGCAUAGCCGACCUGAGAGGGUGAUCGGCCACACUGGAACUGAGACACGGUCCAGACUCCUACGGGAGGCAGCAGUAGGGAAUCUUCCGCAAUGGGCGAAAGCCUGACGGAGCAACGCCGCGUGAGUGAUGAAGGUCUUCGGAUCGUAAAACUCUGUUAUUAGGGAAGAACAUAUGUGUAAGUAACUAUGCACAUCUUGACGGUACCUAAUCAGAAAGCCACGGCUAACUACGUG